ACAAAAGCAAAAUACAUAGAAAGAUUCAGAGAAGGAGAAACCCUCUGCGUCUUCUUCCUUGGCAACUGCACAACGCAGCUCCAGACACCAUUAGGAUCAGCAACUCCGGCCGCAUUCCAGUAGCAGACAUUGAGACGAAAUGAUCAAGAGCUUAGGUGGCAUCCACCUGGGCGUUCAAAAUUCUCACAAACGCCAUGGAUCCGAUCUGAUGAAGACUUCUUCAACUCUUAACAGUCGUCCAGCUUGUCCGCAAGGUAACACAUACUCCAAGAGCUUAACAAUUUGUCACAGCUAUGUCAAAGAGAUUGAGCUAACAGACCUUAAAUCGUACAGGCUGAGCUUCGAGAAGCUAAUAUCACUGCAACAAUUUCAGGCUUAUUAGGUAACCUCUUUGAUUCUGCAGAUUUAUGACACCGUUAAUCACAUUUUGCCUAAUUUUUAUGUUCCUUGCUAAAGAUUCCUCUUUGUGUAAUUGUUGUGUCGAUGUUAUUGUAGACCUGAAAUCUUUUUGUUGGGCAAGAAAUUCUCUUUGUUCCUCUUUGUAAAAGAGUUUUUUUUAUAUAUUGAAAUUUGCAUUUUGACACUUCUUUGUCCUGAGAUUUGGUGUGCCUUGUUUAUCACCAUGUAGUAAUGCUUGAGCUUGUCCUGGUAGAUCUUCUACUGAUGUAAACUGAAUGCUAUUUGUACCUGCAAAAUUGAAGAUAUAGUUAGUUAAAAAAUCCGCCAGUUUGUUCCCCUCUCUGAAAAUGUGUUUGACCACCAUUUCCAUCUCCUUUAGCACCUCCAUAAUGCACCUUAUGUCUACUAAUAUUCCCUAUGGGACUUCCUAUUUUCCGUCAAGGAUUUUUUUUAUUAUUAGGGAGUCUGUUUCCAUCACAAGAGGAAGGUAAUUGUUUUGCACACAAUACAAUAAGUCACAUUUAAAAGCUUUCACUUCAGCUUCUAAGGCAUUGCAAAAUGCCAUACAAACAAUUUGUGCAUAGAUUAAAUUCCCACGACUGUUUCUCAAAAAAAAGCUUUAGAGAUGAGUAAUAAAUGAUCUUUACUAGAGUCAUCUGUAUUGCAUUUAAAUACCCCCACAACAGGACAACUCCAUCUUACUACUUUCCAAGAGAGCAUUGGGAUAUAUUCU
rnacentral:lncRNA from 1 species